rnacentral:tmRNA from 1 species
GAUAUGUUUUUUUGUUUAUUAUCAAUGGUUUCAAGCAUUUUCAUAAAAUAUUUCAUUGAUAUAAGAUCCUACUAUAAANCAUGUUGAAUGUUUAGGCUCACUAUUAGUGGGAUACGCUAGUCUGUGCCGUUUGAAUAGCCUAGAAGAGAUUAUCAAACUCGCGGUCUGACAGGUCUGUCGCCUAACCAGUCACCCGUUAAAUUCAAUAGGAGACUAAGCUUGUAGAAAGUUAAGUGGUCGGUGUUUUCGGACGGGGGUUCGACUCCCCCCAUCUCCACCA